AUUGAUAUAGGAUAUCAUAUUAGACUUGAGUUACGAUUUCUAUUUACGGGCAAUGAAACUGACCUCAUAGUUUUAACCAAAAGCCUUACCACCAUAUGAUGAAAAGAGAGACAUCUGGGGUAUUUAUAAAAUAUCUUCCAUAUGGUAAGGAGGAAAGUUUACAUACAACUAUUGCUUUUGGAAAAAUACUUUGAAUUUGAGUUGCUUUGUACAUUACAUUUUCUCCUUUCAUUUGAUCUGAGAGAUGUUUUUUUUUUUCCUAUCAAAGAAAGACACAAAAGAAAUAUUUCGGAAAUAGAGAAAUGUCACACGAAAUUGUUACCCAACAAAUAUGCAAACGUUCCUGGUGAUGGAGAACUAUGAAGAGCUCCUGGAUUUUUUUUUUUUCUUCUUUUUAGAAAGUUCAAGGACGUUCCGUUUGAAUUUACCCAAUGCCGUUCCUGUUCCUUCUCUUCCAGACUCGGGUCUCCAGAGUGAAUUCUAAACCGGUCCGGCCCGCUUCCAUGACGGCUUGGGAGUUGCGACAAGCCGGUUCGAGCAGUAGGGUCGGCCCCCUCUCCUAGCCGCGGCUCUAUAUAUCGUCCUCCAAUGGGCCGCUGGGGAACUAGGGUUUUGGAUUGCAACCUUGUUUCCUCUCAUGUCCUCGGUGGAUGGCGGCGGAAACCUCGAAUCGAUGUAACGGCUGUAAUCGAGUCGAUUCAUCGUUUACGAUCGGAUUCUGAGCUACUCCUGACAAUAUAAUUCCUUGCUGAAAUGCUGCUAACUGCAAGGUUGUGUAUAGGAAUGCCUUCCUCUGCUAACAAGCAGUUACAUUCAGCCAAAGUGCUUUCUGCUACAUUUUAGAAAGAUGGGCAGUUUUUUAUGUUUAAGUCAUGGAUUCAUGCAAAGGUGGUGUUUUUCCUUUUUAAAAAAAAGCUUGAAGUGUGCUGUAAAUUCUCUGAAUCAAUAUCAGGUGAUUUUUGCAAGCUUGAUGUUGUCAUCAAGCAUAAUA